rnacentral:rRNA from 1 species
UGCAGUCGAGCGAUGAAGCACCUUCGGGUGUGAAUUAGCGGCGAACGGGUGAGGAACACGUGAGAAAUCUGCCUUCAACACUGGGAUAACUCCGGGAAACCGGGGCUAAUACCGGAUAUGAAAUCUGCGGGCAUCCGCGGAUUUGGAAAGUUUUUCGGUUGAAGAUGAUCUCGCGGCCUAUCAGCUUGUUGGUGAGGUAAUGGCUCACCAAGGCGACGACGGGUAGCCGGCCUGAGAGGGCGACCGGCCACACUGGGACUGAGACACGGCCCAGACUCCUACGGGAGGCAGCAGUGGGGAAUAUUGGGCAAUGGAGGAAACUCUGACCCAGCGACGCCGCGUGCGGGAUGAAGGCCUUCGGGAUGUAAACCGCUUUCAGCAGGGAAGAAGCGAAAGUGACGGUACCUGCAGAAGAAGCACCGGCUAACUAUGUGCCAGCAGCCGCGGUAAUACAUAGGGUGCAAGCGUUGUCCGGAAUUAUUGGGCGUAAAGAGCUCGUAGGUGGUUCGUCACGUCGGAUGUGAAACUCUGGGGCUUAACCCCAGACCUGCAUUCGAUACGGGCGAGCUUGAGUAUGGUAGGGGAGUCUGGAAUUCCUGGUGUAGCGGUGGAAUGCGCAGAUAUCAGGAGGAACACCAAUGGCGAAGGCAGGACUCUGGGCCAUUACUGACACUGAGGAGCGAAAGCGUGGGGAGCGAACAGGAUUAGAUACCCUGGUAGUCCACGCCGUAAACGGUGGGCACUAGUUGUGGGGACCUUCCACGGUCUCUGCGACGCAGCUAACGCAUUAAGUG